GAGGGAAAAGUUGCAAAGAACUUUGAAGAGAGAGUUCAAGAGUACGUGAAACUGCUCGGAAAGGAAACGGGGUGGAUCCUUCGAGUCCAAAGGGGGGACGGGAUUCAGUGGCGGGCCGCGAGGGGUGUCCGAGCCUCGUAUUCCUCUCGGGGAAACGAGUGACGAGCACCGUUCUCCGGCCAGUCGCGCACUUCUCGCUCCCGACGGACGCCGCAGCCGGUCACGCGUCGGCAGUGAGGACUGACCGGGCGAUGGCGUGGGCGUCGACCUCGCGUCGGCGUCCCGAUUCUGUACCGGUCGCCGUCCCGGUGCGACGCGGGUCCGAGGGAAGAGCACGUCUCGCACGUGCGUGCCGUGGUCUCGCCAGAAAUGGAAGGAGCGGGAGAGCGGUCCGGUUCUACCGGGUCGGCCGGCCAGCUGUGGGGUGGUCGGUCGGCGAGUGGGGUUCCGGAAGAUCGCGACCCACCCGCUGAUUUGCGAACCGUCGGCUUGCGGCGAGUAGGUCGGUAACCCACCCGACCCGUCUUGAAACACGGACCAAGGAGUCUGACUUGUGCUCGAGUCAGUGGGACUCGAAUAAGCCCACGGGCGUAAUGAAAGUGAAUGGACGUUCUAGUUCGUCGUGAUCCCGCAUCUCCUGAUCGGGCGCAGCGACAGUCCGCCCGCAA
rnacentral:rRNA from 1 species